AGAAAGGUAAGCUAAAAUAAGCUAGUAGGUUCAUACCCUAUUUAUAGAGAAUAUAUCCUCUCCUCUCUA
rnacentral:tRNA from 1 species